GCCGUCACUCAGCGGUAGAGCAUCUGCUUUGCAGGCAGAAGGACCCGGGUUCAAAUCCAAGCAUCACCA